rnacentral:tRNA from 1 species
GCGGUCAUGGCGGAAUAGGCAGACGCGUACGUUUGAGGGGCGUAUGGGAGACCGUCCGGGUUCAAGUCCCGGUGACCGCACCA